AUCAUGUUAUGCUAGUUUAGCAUAUUGAAGUGACAAAGUGAAUAAUGAACAAAAUUAAUCAAAAUAAAGAUAUAUUGUUUUUCUGUUUUCUUCAUGUAUUAUGGAUGAAUCAUCAAGGAUCUGCCCUCAAAAUUUUGGACAAAAGGAAAUAGGCAGACAAUGUAAUACAUAUUCACCAGACAGUGCAGUGUUGUAUAUUUAUAACUGGUGAAAGAUAUGCCAAUCGGCUGACUUUAAUCAGACAGAUCACUAGAAUUACCAAAGGGAAGAAAUCUACAACUGAGGAUAAAGUAAAUUAAAUGACAACGGGAAGAUAUGUCAUUUUACAAAUUUAAUGGCAAGAUACGAAGACAUUACAGCAUACCAAAGGGAAUAUAUAUAAUACAUCUCAGACGUACACUUAAAGGGAAUUCCGGCAGUUUUUUAUGCGCAUCUUUCUGCGAAGCCGACACUAUCUAUAGAAAAUUGA
rnacentral:lncRNA from 1 species